rnacentral:tRNA from 1 species
GGGGUUGUGGCUCAGUGGUAGAAUGCUCACCUAGCAUGUGUGAGGUCCUGGGUUCAAGCCUCAGCACCACA